AACUUUUAACAACGGAUCUCUUGGUUCUGGCAUCGAUGAAGAACGCAGCGAAAUGCGAUAAGUAGUGUGAAUUGCAGAAUUCAGUGAAUCAUCGAAUCUUUGAACGCACAUUGCGCCCUUUGGUAUUCCAAAGGGCAUGCCUGUUCGAGCGUCAUU
rnacentral:rRNA from 2 species